CAAAUUAAAGCUUAUUUAGUAAAGUAUUUUAUUUACAUUAAAAUGAUGUUGUGCGAUUCAAUAUAGUUUGA
rnacentral:tRNA from 1 species